UGGGGAAUAUUGCACAAUGGGCGCAAGCCUGAUGCAGCCAUGCCGCGUGUAUGAAGAAGGCCUUCGGGUUGUAAAGUACUUUCAGUCGGGAGGAAGGUGGUAAGGUUAAUAACCUUAUCAAUUGACGUUACCGACAGAAGAAGCACCGGCUAACUCCGUGCCAGCAGCCGCGGUAAUACGGAGGGUGCAAGCGUUAAUCGGAAUUACUGGGCGUAAAGCGUACGCAGGCGGUUGAUUGAGUCAGAUGUGAAAUCCCCGGGCUUAACCCGGGAAUUGCAUCUGAUACUGGUCAGCUAGAGUCUUGUAGAGGGGGGUAGAAUUCCAUGUGUAGCGGUGAAAUGCGUAGCGAUGUGGAGGAAUACCGGUGGCGAAGGCGGCCCCCUGGACAAAGACUGACGCUCAGGUGCGAAAGCGUGGGGAGCAAACAGG
rnacentral:rRNA from 1 species